UACGUAGGGGGCUAGCGUUGUCCGGAUUUAUUGGGCGUAAAGAGCGUGUAGGCGGCCAGGUAGGUCUGCUGUGAAAACUCGAGGCUUAACCUCGAGAUGUCGGCGGAAACCAUCUGGCUAGAGUCCGGAAGAGGAGAGUGGAAUUCCUGGUGUAGCGGUGAAAUGCGUAGAUAUCUGGAGGAACACCGGUGGCGAAGGCGGCAUCCUGGACCGGUAUUGACGCUGAGGCGCGAAAGCUAGGGGAGCAAACGGG
rnacentral:rRNA from 1 species